GCUCACUUCGGCAGACAUAUACUAAAACUGGAACGAUGCAGAGACUAGCAUGGCCCCUGUGCAAGGAUGGCAUGCAAAUUUGUGAAGUGUUCCAUAUUUUU
rnacentral:snRNA from 1 species